ensembl:lncRNA LINC02682 long intergenic non-protein coding RNA 2682
GGCAGUUGCCGGACGCCAUGUUGGUGAAGCGCCGGGGCUGCUAAUGCUCCCUCCCCUCUUCCUCUUUGGCUCUCUCUCUCUCUUUUUCCAGACACCUUAAGGAAUUCAACAACCCCUCCCCUGCACACAGGCUUCUUCCAGCCAGAUGCCAUGUUGCAAGAUUUCCUCUGGAGAGGGCCUCUUGGCAAGGAACUGAUGUCUCUGGCCAGCAGCCAGCGAGGACCUAAGAUCUGUCAACAGCCAUGCUUAUGGCUGGUCUAGCAGAGCCAGGUGCCAGGCCUGGCGGGAGCAUCCUUGUCUCUUAACUGACAGUGCCUCCACCUGGCCUUGCAGCUCCACUCGACAAAUACUAAAUAACAGGCUCUGGCAUCUCCUGAAGCUCUGCACUCAUUAACACACUGGGAGGUGUAGCUGUCAAGCUCUUCUCCAGGGGAGUUUUCUAAGAGCCUGGAAAACUGCCAGCCUCAUCUGCCACUUCCCCUCUUCCCUGCACACACUCUCUGGCCACUAGCAACUCCACCCCGUUCUAUUUAGCCCCCAGAUCUCACUGCUUGCUCUUCUGUCAUUCUGCAAUGCCAGUACCUUCCUCUUCACCUGGCAAACUCCUAUCCAUCCUUCAGGUCCUGAUCAAAUGACCCCUCCUCCAGGAAGCCUUUCUCUAGAUUUCCAAACACAGUGACUAUUUUGUCCUGUAGUUUCCACUGAUUGACAACCAUCUUUCUGUUCUAGUUUCAGCUUCCCUGCACUAUUGUUAACUAUGUAUCUGUUUCCUUCCACCUACCAAGCUGUAUGUACCUUGAAUAAAUGGUCAAGGCGAUUU